rnacentral:rRNA from 1 species
UACGAAGGGUGCGAGCGUUGUUCGGAAUUACUGGGCGUAAAGGGUUCGUAGGCGGGAAUGCAAGUCAAGUGUGAAAUCCCCAGGCUCAACCUGGGACGUGCAUUUGAGACUGUGUUUCUUGAGUUUCGGAGAGGGUGGUGGAAUUGCUGGUGUAGGAGUGACAUCCGUAGAGAUCAGCAGGAACACCGGAGGCGAAGGCGACCACCUGGCCGAAUACUGACGCUGAGGAACGAAAGCGUGGGGAGCAAACAGG